GGAACCUUAAAAUUUAUCAUUAAAGGAUCUUGGUAUACUAAAUGCUAGUAACUAAAGCAGUAAUAUAGUCGCAAUUUAUACAGUCGCAAUUUAAAAUCAAAUUCAAUAUCCUAAAUGUUUAUAUUAAAGCAAGAUCCAGAACACAAGAAUUGUGAAAAAGAGAAAGAACAUGUAACACAAAUGUAGUAGUGAAAUUAAAGGAAGGGAGAAGGGAAAUCAUGAGUUACCUAGCAGAAAUUUGUACUGUGGGAAACGAAGCACAAGCCGAAAAUUGUGACCGCAUCCACAACGAGGGUUUGAGCCAUUAGUUAACUUUAAGUGUGAUGAAGUUACAAAACAGCAGCGUCGCGGAGUAGGAAUGACAAGGAGAAGCGAUGGUGGCCUGGUCGCAUCAGUAUCUGCGGCGGCUCAGAAGUUAGAAGAGAGAAAGGGUUUCGCGUUUGUGUCUCUGAAAUUGAAUAAGAGAAGAGAGAAUUGGGUUUUUA
rnacentral:lncRNA from 1 species